CUGCAGGCUGCAACUCGCCUGCACGAAGUUGGAAUUGCUAGUAAUCGUGGAUCAGCAUGCCACGGUGAAUACGUUCCCGGGUCUUGUACACACCGCCCGUCACACCAUGGGAGCCGGUAAUACCCGAAGUCAGUAGUCUAACCGCAAGGAGGACGCUGCCGAAGGUAGGAUUGGCGACUGGGGUGAAGUCGUAACAAGGUAAC
rnacentral:rRNA from 1 species